GUUUCCACGGCUGGCAGCCCGGCUCCCUGCCGCCCGCCCGCUUCUGGGCUUCUUGGCUGGGGCUGCUCCUGACAGAAGGGAUGCGUGUUGUCGGGGGCGGGGGGCGGCGUGUGUGCGUGUGCGUGUGCGAGAGUAUGUGUGUGCGCUUAAAAUACAAAAAAAAGAAGGCUGGCUACACUCAGCUGCGAGAGGCUGGCCGGGCUCCGUCCGUGCCAAUUCCCUCCGAGCUGGCACCGUGGGGACCGGGAGGGGGGAGAGGUGAGGGAAGAUGGACGCUUGCCACGGACGAGCGGCAGGGCUGGGCGCCUCCCCGGUGCCAGCGGGCGCACGGGGCCAAAACUCACAAACAAAAACCGCAGCAGAUCGCUGGCAGCCCGUCCUGGGGAGGCGGCAGCCACUUGGCAGAGGAGCCAUGGAGGACCCGGUAGGGAGUAGGCGGCCGGCGCACAGGAACCAUCUGUGUGCAGAGGUGGCCCUCACAAUCUGCUCCCCAGUCCCGCCCGGCACUGAGACUCCUGGACAAUGCCUCCCUGGGGUGUCCUCAAG
rnacentral:lncRNA from 1 species